GACGAACGCUGGCGGCGUGCCUAAUACAUGCAAGUCGAGCGAAUCGAUGGGAGCUUGCUCCCUGAGAUUAGCGGCGGACGGGUGAGUAACACGUGGGUAAUCUGCCUGUAAGACUGGGAUAACUUCGGGAAACCGGAGCUAAUACCGGAUACUUUCUUUUCUCGCAUGAGGGAAGAUGGAAAGAUGGUUCUGCUAUCACUUACAGAUGGACCCGCGGCGCAUUAGCUAGUUGGUGAGGUAACGGCUCACCAAGGCAACGAUGCGUAGCCGACCUGAGAGGGUGAUCGGCCACACUGGGACUGAGACACGGCCCAGACUCCUACGGGAGGCAGCAGUAGGGAAUCUUCCGCAAUGGACGAAAGUCUGACGGGGCAACGCCGCGUGAGCGAAGAAGGCCUUCGGGUCGUAAAGCUCUGUUGUUAGGGAAGAACAAGUACGAGAGUAACUGCUCGUACCUUGACGGUACCUAACCAGAAAGCCACGGCUAACUACGUGCCAGCAGCCGCGGUAAAAC
rnacentral:rRNA from 1 species